GUGCCUGCCAAAUGAUAAGAUAUGGAUGGACACUUGAUGGCUAAUGACUGCUCCAUGAGUAGCCUAGCUCUCCAUUCUGCUUCUGAAGGAUAAUCAGUUGGUGCAUACCCAGUUCUAAAAUAAACCACUGCAAUUGCUUGUCCACCUACAAGGAGUGUUCCAUCUGGUAGAAGUUCCCCUUCUUUAUCAAUUUCUGCCAAUGUUUUCCGAAUAGCUGUUACAUUAUGUUUUUCCUUCAAUGCAGCACAAAGCCAAUGUUGGUCAUACAUGUUGUGCUCCUCAGGCUGAACAACAACCAUAACUGCAGCCCUAGGGUUAUUAUACUCAGUCCAAGCUUUAGCCAGCGCAUCUGCAAACCGAUUAACAGUAGUGUUGCUUGGUAUUCUUUUG
rnacentral:misc_RNA from 1 species